AGCGAACGCUGGCGGCAGGCCUAACACAUGCAAGUCGAACGAAGUCUUCGGACUUAGUGGCGGACGGGUGAGUAACACGUGGGAACGUGCCCUUUGGUACGGAAUAACUCAGGGACACUUGAGCUAAUACCGUAUGUGCCCUUCGGGGGAAAGAUUUAUCGCCAUUGGAGCGGCCCGCGUCUGAUUAGCUAGUUGGUGAGGUAAAGGCUCACCAAGGCGACGAUCAGUAGCUGGUCUGAGAGGAUGAUCAGCCACAUUGGGACUGAGACACGGCCCAAACUCCUACGGGAGGCAGCAGUGGGGAAUCUUGCGCAAUGGGCGAAAGCCUGACGCAGCCAUGCCGCGUGAAUGAUGAAGGUCUUAGGAUUGUAAAAUUCUUUCACCGGGGACGAUAAUUACGGUACCCGGACAAGAAGCCCCGGCUAACUUCGUGCCAGCCGCCGCAGUAAUAC
rnacentral:rRNA from 1 species